rnacentral:misc_RNA from 1 species
ACCAACAUGUAUCAUUCUUUACUAUGAUCAAGGGGGUAUUGCUGUUUAAGGCGAGAAAAAAAGUUAUUUGUAAUUAAAAAAGGCGAUAUUUGUUUACUUUUUGACAUACCAGAGGACACAUUUUCAGAGUACAGUUUGAAAUAGUGGUCAGAAUAAGAAGGUUUCGUACAAGUAUUUGAUGUCACGAUGCAGGUUGGAACAACACGUCAUGCAUUCUGUUUGGGUAAUAUUUGUAUCAAGAUAUUUUGUGUCUUGGAAACAUUUCAUGCUAAUACCUUGAAAGACCACCGAUUGAAAGAGAAGAAUUAGAUUCUAAAAUCAGGGAAAGUGAAGACCUAUUGCUGAAGUUAGAAUCGUCGCUUAGCAAUCAGGAGGCAGAGAGAGCUGCAAACAAGAAACUCACAGCAGAAAAAACCAGGCUUUAAAAACAUCACGAUGAUAUGGAAGAAAAAUUUGAAGGCAUGGAAAGAGGUCACAUGAGUCUAGUAUCAGAAGUGGAAUCGCUACGUAGGGUCAACCAAGAGCAGUGGGAUACAAUCCUGAAACUGAACUCAGAAAUAAAAUUGUUGAAAGAGACGCAGGGAGGUGACGAUAACGUUAGAGACAUGCAAGAGAAGUUGAUAAGAAUGUCAAAUGAACAGGAAGACAAAAGUAUGUGGAUCUAUAGUUUAGAAGGUGAAUUAGAUGUCACACGAGAAAAACUGAAGGACGCUGAAUCUCGUGCUGCGGGAGGAGGAACUAAUUCAGCUCAGAAUUCUAAAGCUUGCUUAGUGAUGUAGGCAGUUUGAACGGUAUGCAUUUAACGUUAGCAAAUACCGUGUCCCUCUAAUCCGCACUAAUUAUCAGUGUUUUCCAUUUAGACUGUCCGUCUGCAUCUUUUGUUAUAGUUUAGAAAUACAGUAUGCAUCAUAAUUUUAAUUUAGGGACCUUGUAUGCCAAGGCGCCAAGGCAGGUGGCACAGUUACUUAGUGGUAGAGAUUUGUCAGAGCCGAGAGAGGAAUUUGACCGAUGCCUCUCACAACACAUUUAGUCACGAAUACUGGACUAUUAACUAAAAAACGUGUAUAUCAUGUAUUGAAAAGUUUACAAUUCAGUGCUUUAGUAUGCCAAACAUUCUGAUUAUCUAAGUUCUACUCUGUUUGCUUAAACUCUUAGUCGUACAUACAUCAUUUUCAUUAAAUAAUUGUUUUAAUACUGUAUUUCUUUAAAGUGGACGUUUCAAGCAACACGUCCACUACAUCAGCACUCGAUUUAAGAAUCGGAUUGAUGGCUUUGUACAUGUCGUUAUUUGUCGGCUAUUAUGCAUAUGGGGUAAUGAAAUUGGACAAUCACUGUACAUUUUGCGUGCACAAAAUACACGUGCACAACUGCUACCGAUAUUUGUUGUAACUAUUACAUGAGGCAUAUGACAAAUAUAGAUCUAAAUGUAUAACAAAUCGUUUAUUCAUUUUCUAUUAUUUAAUAAGCAAUAAAUCAUGUAUUAUUCG